rnacentral:rRNA from 1 species
GACGAACGCUGGCGGCGUGCCUAAUACAUGCAAGUCGAACGAGAGCGACCGGUGCUUGCACUGGUCAAUCUAGUGGCGCACGGGUGUGUAACACGUGGGUAACCUGCUCAUCAGAGGGGUAUAACAUCCGGAAACGGAUGCUAACACCGCAUAGGUCUUCGAACCGCAUGGUUUGAAGAGGAAAAGCGGCGCAAGCUUAUGCAGUUGGAUGGACCCGCGUUGCAUUAGCUAGUUGGUGAGGUAACGGCUUACCAAGGCCGUGAUGCAUAGCCGACGUGAGAGGGGGAUCGGCCACAUUGGGACUGGGACACGGCCCUAACUCCUGCGGGAGGCAGCAGUAGGGAACCGUCCGCAAUGGACGCAAGUCUGACGGAGCAACGCCGCGUGAGUGAAGAAGGUGUUGGGAUCGUAAAACUCUGUUGUUAGUGAAGAACAAGUGCUAGAGUAACUGUUAGCGCCUUGACGGUAACUAACCAGAAAGCCACGGCUAACUACGUG